rnacentral:rRNA from 1 species
CCUACGGGAGGCAGCAGUGAGGAAUAUUGGUCAAUGGCCGAGAGGCUGAACCAGCCAAGUCGCGUGAGGGAAGACGGCCCUACGGGUUGUAAACCUCUUUUGUCGGGGAGCAAAGCGAGUCACGUGUGACUCAUUGAGAGUACCCGAAGAAAAAGCAUCGGCUAACUCCGUGCCAUCAGCCGCGGUAAUACGGAGGGGGCGAGCGUUGUCCGGAAUGACUGGGCGUAAAGGGAGCGUAGGCGGCAUAUUAAGUUAUGUGUGAAAGCCCGCGGCUCACCCGCGGAAUUGCACAUAAAACUGGUAAGCGGGAGUGCAGGAGAGGUAAGUGGAAUUCCCGGUGUAGCGGUGGAAUGCGUAGAUAUCGGGAGGAACACCAGAGGCGAAGGCGACUUACUGGACUGUAACUGACGCUGAGGCUCGAAAGCGUGGGGAGCAAACAGGAUUAGAUACCCUGGUAGUC